GUAUUCACAGGAUUUAUCACAACGGUCUGCUGCUCCGUUAACAUGGGCUUCUCGUUUGGAGUUUUGAGUUAGUAGAGGGCAUAGCGUGGGAGUUAACAAAAAGUAUUUCGUUCACGACACAAACGUCGAUGUUCUCCUUCCAGAUCUCUCCUUGAUCAAGUAUCCCAGUAUUUUGUGUUCUGCUCUCUUUUGUCACACUAGUUACAUCUUUCCUUUCGUAUUUUCGAUUUCGUCUGCAGCUGAGAUUUACCGAUUUUUCUGUUGUUCUACUUUCAUUCUCGUUUAAAUUUCGUUUCUCUCCAUACGUUUUCUGAUUUUAUUCUACAUCAUUAGUCUACUUUUGCUUAGCAUGUUGCUUUUUCUGCGCUUUCAUCAUCAAACUUGUUCUCUACUUUCCGUUACCCACCAA
rnacentral:sRNA from 2 species